ACGCUGGCGGCGUGCCUAAUACAUGCAAGUCGAGCGAACGGACGAGAAGCUUGCUUCUCUGAUGUUAGCGGCGGACGGGUGAGUAACACGUGGAUAACCUACCUAUAAGACUGGGAUAACUUCGGGAAACCGGAGCUAAUACCGGAUAAUAUUUUGAACCGCAUGGUUCAAAAGUGAAAGACGGUCUUGCUGUCACUUAUAGAUGGAUCCGCGCUGCAUUAGCUAGUUGGUAAGGUAACGGCUUACCAAGGCAACGAUGCAUAGCCGACCUGAGAGGGUGAUCGGCCACACUGGAACUGAGACACGGUCCAGACUCCUACGGGAGGCAGCAGUAGGGAAUCUUCCGCAAUGGGCGAAAGCCUGACGGAGCAACGCCGCGUGAGUGAUGAAGGUCUUCGGAUCGUAAAACUCUGUUAUUAGGGAAGAACAUAUGUGUAAGUAACUGUGCACAUCUUGACGGUACCUAAUCAGAAAGCCACGGCUAACUACGUGCCAGCAGCCGCGGUAAUACGUAGGUGGCAAGCGUUAUCCGGAAUUAUUGGGCGUAAAGCGCGCGUAGGCGGUUUUUUAAGUCUGAUGUGAAAGCCCACGGCUCAACCGUGGAGGGUCAUUGGAAACUGGAAAACUUGAGUGCAGAAGAGGAAAGUGGAAUUCCAUGUGUAGCGGUGAAAUGCGCAGAGAUAUGGAGGAACACCAGUGGCGAAGGCGACUUUCUGGUCUGUAACUGACGCUGAUGUGCGAAAGCGUGGGGAUCAAACAGGAUUAGAUACCCUGGUAGUCCACGCCGUAAACGAUGAGUGCUAAGUGUUAGGGGGUUUCCGCCCCUUAGUGCUGCAGCUAACGCAUUAAGCACUCCGCCUGGGGAGUACGACCGCAAGGUUGAAACUCAAAGGAAUUGACGGGGACCCGCACAAGCGGUGGAGCAUGUGGUUUAAUUCGAAGCAACGCGAAGAACCUUACCAAAUCUUGACAUCCUUUGACAACUCUAGAGAUAGAGCCUUCCCCUUCGGGGGACAAAGUGACAGGUGGUGCAUGGUUGUCGUCAGCUCGUGUCGUGAGAUGUUGGGUUAAGUCCCGCAACGAGCGCAACCCUUAAGCUUAGUUGCCAUCAUUAAGUUGGGCACUCUAAGUUGACUGCCGGUGACAAACCGGAGGAAGGUGGGGAUGACGUCAAAUCAUCAUGCCCCUUAUGAUUUGGGCUACACACGUGCUACAAUGGACAAUACAAAGGGCAGCGAAACCGCGAGGUCAAGCAAAUCCCAUAAAGUUGUUCUCAGUUCGGAUUGUAGUCUGCAACUCGACUACAUGAAGCUGGAAUCGCUAGUAAUCGUAGAUCAGCAUGCUACGGUGAAUACGUUCCCGGGUCUUGUACACACCGCCCGUCACACCACGAGAGUUUGUAACACCCGAAGCCGGUGGAGUAACCUUUUAGGAGCUAGCCGUCGAAGGUGGGACAAAUGAUUGGGGUGAAGUCGUAACAAGGUAGCCGUAUCGGAA
rnacentral:rRNA from 1 species